UACGUAGGGGGCAAGCGUUAUCCGGAUUUACUGGGUGUAAAGGGAGCGUAGACGGUUGUAUAAGUCUGGAGUGAAAGCCCGGGGCCCAACCCCGGGACUGCUUUGGAAACUGUAUAGCUUGAGUACUGGAGAGGCAGGCGGAAUUCCUAGUGUAGCGGUGAAAUGCGUAGAUAUUAGGAGGAACACCAGUGGCGAAGGCGGCCUGCUGGACAGAAACUGACGUUGAGGCACGAAAGCGUGGGUAUCGAACAGG
rnacentral:rRNA from 1 species